AGCGAACGCUGGCGGCAGGCCUAACACAUGCAAGUCGAACGAAGUCUUCGGACUUAGUGGCGGACGGGUGAGUAACACGUGGGAACGUGCCUUUAGGUUCGGAAUAACUCAGGGAAACUUGUGCUAAUACCGAAUGUGCCCUUCGGGGGAAAGAUUUAUCGCCUUUAGAGCGGCCCGCGUCUGAUUAGCUAGUUGGUGGGGUAAUGGCCCACCAAGGCUAUGAUCAGUAGCUGGUCUGAGAGGAUGACCAGCAACAUUGGGACUGAGACACGGCCCAAACUCCUACGGGAGGCAGCAGUGGGGAAUCUUGCGCAAUGGGCGAAAGCCUGACGCAGCCAUGCCGCGUGGAUGCUGAAGGUCUUAGGAUUGUAAAAUCCUUUCACCGGUGAAGAUAAUGACUGUAGCCGGAGAAGAAGCCCCGGCUAACUUCGUGCCAGCAGCCGCCGUAAGAC
rnacentral:rRNA from 1 species